rnacentral:rRNA from 1 species
GACGAACGCUGGCGGCGUGCCUAAUACAUGCAAGUCGAACGCAGUGGGGACGGGUGAGUGACACGUGGGUAACCUCCCCAUCAGAGGGGAUAACACUUGGAAACAGGUGCUAAACCGAUAUUGAUGGAUGGACCCGCGGUGCAUUAGCUAGUUGGUGAGGUAACGGCUCACCAGGGCCACGAUGCAGAGGCGGCCUGAGAGUGUGAUCGGCCACACUGGGACUGAGACACGGCCCAGACUCCUACGGGAGUAAGCAGUAGGGAAGCGUGGGCAAUGGCCGAAAGUCUGACCGAGCAACGCCGCGUGAGUGAAGAAGGUUUUCGGAUCGUAAAACUCUGUUGGUAGAGAAGCGGUAUCUAAACAGAAAGCCACGGCUAACUACGUGCCAGCAGCCGCGGUAAUAC